GACAGAGGGGGCAAGCGUUGCUCGGAAUCACUGGGCGUAAAGGGCGCGUAGGCGGGAUGGCAAGUCGGUCGUGAAAUCCUUCGGCUCAACCGAAGAACGUCGGCCGAUACUGCCGUUCUUUGAGGACUGGAGAGGAGACUGGAAUUUACGGUGUAGCGGUGAAAUGCGUAGAUAUCGUAAGGAAGACCAGUGGCGAAGGCGGGUCUCUGGA
rnacentral:rRNA from 1 species